rnacentral:rRNA from 1 species
GGGAAUAUUGCACAAUGGGCGCAAGCCUGAUGCAGCCAUGCCGCGUGUAUGAAGAAGGCCUUCGGGUUGUAAAGUACUUUCAGCGGGGAGGAAGGUGUUGCGGUUAAUAACCGCAGCAAUUGACGUUACCCGCAGAAGAAGCACCGGCUAACUCCGUGCCAGCAGCCGCGGUAAUACGGAGGGUGCAAGCGUUAAUCGGAA